rnacentral:rRNA from 1 species
AGCUCCAUUAGCGUAUAUUAAAGUUGUUGCAGUUAAAAAGCUCGUAGUUGGAUUUCGGUGCGGGUCGCGUCGGUCGGUCGCAAGACUUGUUUACUGGCCGGCCUGUUCUUUCUCUCCGAGACCUCGCGUUUCCUUUACUGGAUGCGCGUGCGAAUCGGAGGCGUUUACUUUGAAAAAAUUAGAGUGUUCAAGGCAGGCUCGUUUAGGCUUGAAUACAUGAGCAUGGAAUAAUGGAAUAUGACUUGGGUCACUAUUUCGUUGGUUCUAUUGACCGAAGUAAUGAUUAAGAGGGACAGUUGGGGGCAUCCGUAUUUCGUUGUCAGAGGUGAAAUUCUUGGAUUUACGAAAGACGAACUACUGCGAAAGCAUUUGCCAAGAAUGUUUUCAUUAAUCAAGAACG